rnacentral:rRNA from 1 species
CCUACGGGUGGCAGCAGUGGGGAAUAUUGCACAAUGGGCGAAAGCCUGAUGCAGCAACGCCGCGUGAAGGAAGAAGGGUUUCGGCUCGUAAACUUCUAUCAACAGGGACGAAAGAAAUGACGGUACCUGAAUAAGAAGCCCCGGCUAACUACGUGCCAGCAGCCGCGGUAAUACGGGGGAUGCGAGCGUUAUCCGGAUUUAUUGGGUUUAAAGGGUGCGUAGGCGGCGCUUCAGGUCAGCGGUGAAAUACCGGGGCUCAACCCCGGGGCUGCCGUUGAAACCGGAGCGCUAGAAUUCCGAUGCCGUCGGAGGAAUGUGUGGUGUAGCGGUGAAAUGCAUAGAUAUCACACAGAACACCGAUUGCGAAGGCAGCAUACCGGCGCUCAACUGACGCUGAGGCACGAAAGCGUGGGGAUCGAACAGGAUUAGAUACCCCAGUAGUC